rnacentral:rRNA from 1 species
UACGUAGGUGGCAAGCGUUGUCCGGAUUUAUUGGGCUUAAAGGGUGCGUAGGCGGUUCUAUAAGUCAGUGGUGAAAUACGGCAGCUCAACUGUCGAGGUGCCAUUGAUACUGUGGAACUUGAGUACAGACGAGGUAGGCGGAAUUGACGGUGUAGCGGUGAAAUGCUUAGAUAUCGUCAAGAACACCGAUAGCGAAGGCAGCUUACUAGACUGUAACUGACGCUGAGGCACGAAAGUGUGGGGAUCAAACAGG